UACGGGGGGGGCAAGCGUUGUUCGGAAUUACUGGGCGUAAAGGGCUCGUAGGCGGCCAACUAAGUCCGACGUGAAAUCCCCAGGCUCAACCUGGGAACUGCGUCGGAUACUGGAUGGCUUGAAUUCGGGAGAGGGAUGCAGAAUUCCAGGUGUAGCGGUGAAAUGCGUAGAUAUCUGGAGGAAUACCGGUGGCGAAGGCGGCAUCCUGGACCGAGAUUGACACUGAUGAGCGAAAGCCAGGGGAGCAAACGGG
rnacentral:rRNA from 1 species